GACAGAGGGUGCAAACGUUGUUCGGAAUUACUGGGCGUAAAGCGAGUGUAGGCGGCUUGGAAAGUCGGAUGUGAAAGCCCCGGGCUCAACCCGGGAAGUGCACUCGAUACUGCUUAGCUUGAGUGUCGGAGAGGUUGGUGGAAUUCUCGGUGUAGAGGUGAAAUUCGUAGAUAUCGAGAGGAACAUCGGCGGCGAAGGCGGCCAACUGGACGAACACUGACGCUGAGACUCGAAAGCGUGGGGAGCAAACAGG
rnacentral:rRNA from 1 species